rnacentral:rRNA from 1 species
GACGAACGCUGGCGGCGUGCUUAACACAUGCAAGUCGAACGGAAAGGCCCUGCUUGCAGUGUACUCGCGUUGCGAACGGGUGAGUAACACAUGGGUGGUCUGCCCUGCACUUCGGGAUAAGCUUGUUCAACUGGGUCUAAUACCUGCUAGGAACCAUCUUUAGUCGGGUGGUUGGAAAGUUAUUUCGGUGUAGGAUGAGCUCGCGGCCUAUCAGCUUGUUGGUGGGGUAAUGGCCUACCAAGGCGGCGACGGGUAGCCGGCCUGAGAGGGUGCACGGCCACAUCGGGACCGAGAGACGGGCCAGACUACUACGGGAGGCAGCAGGGGGGAAUAUUGCACAAUGGGCGGAAGCCUGAGGGAGCGAGGCCGCGUGGGGGAUGAAGGCCUUCGGGUUGUAAACUCCUUUCGCUAGGGACGAAGCGUUGUUGUGACGGUACCUAGAUAAGAAGCACCGGCUAACUACGUG